ensembl:lncRNA
AGGGCAGCGCGUUCAGUGGGAGGAGCCAGAGGGAGGAGGAAGCAGGAGCGGUGGAGGUGCAGGAGGAGAGUGAGCUGGAGGUGGAGCUGCCCAUCGAUCAGGUGGAGGCCAGAGAGGUGGAGGAGGAGUCUGGACAAAGAGGAAUUGAACCCAGCGGGAUCCGCGAGGGCCUUCAGGGGCGUCGGCUCCCCGGGCGUUUGCCCAUGGGUGUCAGCGGGAGAGACUCCAACAACCCUCCCAGUCCAGGGCCAGCAGGACUAUGAAGCGAUGGGAGGCGUGCAGACACUCCCAGUGACGGAGCAGUGAUGAGCUCGCCGGGACUGCAGGUGUGAUGUUAUGGAAUGCAGGAAAGCACUUGUGGCUAAGGAUUAGCUUGGAAGCUAAGUCUUGCUAGGCUGUGCAGCACUCUUAGUCCGGUCAAGGCAGGAGACAUUGUGACCUGUAAUAUCUGUUACUGUCAUUUAUGCUGUGUCUCUACUUAACUCUCUGUUCCUUACGGUGACAGAUUGGUACAGGUUUGCAUAUACAGAUGUUUCCGCCUAGCUGUGUGCUUCCCAGCAUAACUCUCAUCUAAACACACUUAUUCCACUCUGAUAGUCCUGGGGGACAGCUGUAUGAAACCACAUUGAUGAACCACACAAUACUUGAGUGCUACCACUAUUCCAGGCCAUUUCCUUCUGCCCUGAAAAUGAGGAGAUAUUGGGUCUUAUUUCAGCAAUCAAUAACCGUGGAACAUUUCAUUUUAAUGAAAACCAUCAUUUCAGGCGGUAGCAAGUACACCGUGGGGAAUGUUUUGGUGUACUGAUGAUUUUGCUGCAGUGUGCACUUUUGCAAUAAAGAUAUUCUUAUUGGGAUAAUUAUUGACUUCAGGGGCCCAGUUAUGGCCCCGGCUAAGGGCCUCAUCAAUAGUCUAAUUCAUAACUCAUCACUUUCAGUCCUACAUGAAUAUUGCUGAUUCAGACUAGCUCUAGACUGAGGGCCAGAAGGACCAUUAGAUAAUGGGCAGUAAUGAUCAUCUCCUGAACAGCUUCUUAGCUCAGACCUGC